rnacentral:rRNA from 1 species
UAGGGAAUCUUCGGCAAUGGACGAAAGUCUGACCGAGCAACGCCGCGUGAGUGAAGAAGGUUUUCGGAUCGUAAAACUCUGUUGUUAGAGAAGAACAAGGACGUUAGUAACUGAACGUCCUCUGACGGUAUCUAACCAGAAAGCUACGGCUAACUACGUGACAGCAGCCGCGGUAAUACGUAGGUGGCAAGCGUUGUCCGGAUUUAGUGGGCGUAAAGCGAGCGCAGGCGGUUUCUUAAGUCUGAUGUGAAAGCCCCCGGCUCAACCGGGGAGGGUAAUUGGAAACUGGGAGACUUGAGUGCAGAAGAGGAGAGUGGCAUUCCAUGUGUAGCGGUGAAAUGCGUAGAUAUAUGGAGGAACACCAGUGGAGAAGGCGGCUCUCUGGUCUGUAACUGACGCUGAGGCUCGAUAGCGUGGGGAGCAAACAGG